rnacentral:lncRNA from 1 species
CACCACUACUUUCAUCACACACACUCCAAAAUGUUGUACACAUUUUCAAUGGACUCAUAGGCCUCAAGUUAAGAAAAGUUGGCUAGUUUAAUUUACAGUUUGCUGCGUUAUAAAUAAAAUUGGACCUGGAGCUAGAAAAUCUGCAUUUGAAACUUCUGAUAGUAUCUGGUGUAAAUUUUGACAAACCACUGAAACCUCUCUCUAGUUAUGUCCUCUACUAAGUGAAGGUAAUGCCAUCUGCUUAGCAGAAUUGAUGUUCUAUUCAAUUAGAUAGUACAGGUAAAGAACUUCUUAAAAUUAAAAAGCAAAAUUUUACUAAUGGACUAAAUUGUCUUAUUCAUGCUUUAUUAAUAAUUAGUGAGGGGCUAAGGUUGUGGCUCAGUGGUAGAGCACUUGCCUUGCAUAUGUGAGGCACUGGGUUCGAUCCUCAGCACCACAUAAAAUUAGUAAAUAAGUAAAACAAAGAUACUGUGUCCAUGUUCAACUAAAAAAAUUUAAAAAAAUAAUUAGUGAAAAACUAAAUUCUGAUCUUUUUCCUGUCAUUACUUUCAUGAAACUAAUACAGAUAUAGCUGUAACAGUUUGUGUGUCAAGAUUUUCUAAUAGAACUGACACUUUUCCUUUAGUGUAAUUGGAUUAUUAGUCUGUGUUUUAUCAUUACUAUAAGUCAGCUGAACACUGGCUACUACAG